UCGACAACGAAAAUGCUAACGAAAAAAUAUCAUCGAGUAUUCUGUCAAAGUUAAAGUAAAAAAAUUCAAAAUUAAUUUAAAAUCAAGAAAAAUCAAUUUUUAAAGCAAGAAAAUUUAAAGUGAUAAAAAUCGACAACAUUGCUCUUGGAGUCAAGAAAAAUGCACAGGACAGUAAAAACAAACUGUAGAGCCCUACCACAAAAUUAAAAAUUAAACACGAACAACAAAAAGCUAAGUGAAAACAAACUAACGAAGGUUGGUCAUCAAAAACGAACAGAUAAAGCUUAACAUAACAAAAAAAAAAAAACAAUACCAAAAAUCCUAAAAUUUUAACAAAAUCAAUCAAAUAUCUCCCAA